AACGCUAGCUACAGGCUUAACACAUGCAAGUCGAGGGGCAGCGCAGUGUAGCAAUACAUGGGCGGCGACCGGCGCACGGGUGCGUAACGCGUAUCCAACCUUCCCGUUACUCAGGGAUAGCCUUCCGAAAGGGAGAUUAAUACCUGAUGGUGUUGAAAUUCCGCAUGUUAUUUCAACUAAAGAUUUAUCGGUAACGGAUGGGGAUGCGUGACAUUAGGUAGAUGGCGGGGUAACGGCCCACCAUGCCUACGAUGUCUAGGGGUUCUGAGAGGAAGGUCCCCCACACUGGAACUGAGACACGGUCCAGACUCCUACGGGAGGCAGCAGUGAGGAAUAUCGGUCAAUGGUCGGAAGACUGAACCAGCCAAGUAGCGUGAAGGAUGAAGGUUCUAUGGAUUGUAAACUUCUUUUAUACGGGAAUAAAACCACCUACGUGUAGGUGCUUGUAUGUACCGUAUGAAUAAGCAUCGGCUAACUCCGUGCCAGCAGCCGCGGUAAUACGGAGGAUGCGAGCGUUAUCCGGAUUUAUUGGGUUUAAAGGGAGCGUAGACGGGAGAUUAAGUCAGUUGUGAAAGGCUGCGGCUCAACCGCAGCACUGCAGUUGAUACUGGUUUCCUUGAGUUCGGUUGAGGUGUAUGGAAUUCGUGGUGUAGCGGUGAAAUGCUUAGAUAUCACGAAGAACUCCGAUUG
rnacentral:rRNA from 1 species